GAUGAACGCUGGCGGCGUGCCUAAUACAUGCAAGUCGAGCGAACGGACGAGAAGCUUGCUUCUCUGAUGUUAGCGGCGGACGGGUGAGUAACACGUGGAUAACCUACCUAUAAGACUGGGAUAACUUCGGGAAACCGGAGCUAAUACCGGAUAAUAUUUUGAACCGCAUGGUUCAAAAGUGAAAGACGGUCUUGCUGUCACUUAUAGAUGGAUCCGCGCUGCAUUAGCUAGUUGGUAAGGUAACGGCUUACCAAGGCAACGAUGCAUAGCCGACCUGAGAGGGUGAUCGGCCACACUGGAACUGAGACACGGUCCAGACUCCUACGGGAGGCAGCAGUAGGGAAUCUUCCGCAAUGGGCGAAAGCCUGACGGAGCAACGCCGCGUGAGUGAUGAAGGCCUUCGGAUCAUAAAACUCUGUUAUUAGGGAAGAACAUAUGUGUAAGUAACUGUGCACAUCUUGACGGUACCUAAUCAGAAAGCCACGGCUAACUACGUG
rnacentral:rRNA from 1 species